GGGGGCAUAGUUUAAUAAUUAAAAUGGUGUUUUUGUAAUGCAUUGAUAACUUUUUUGUUUGUCUCUA
rnacentral:tRNA from 1 species